GAUGAACGCUGGCGGCGUGCUUAACACAUGCAAGUCGAACGGUGAAGGCGGAGCUUGCUCUGCUGGAUCAGUGGCGAACGGGUGAGUAACACGUGAGCAAUCUGCCCCUGACUCUGAGAUAAGCGCUGGAAACGGCGUCUAAUACUGGAUACGAGCUGCGAAGGCAUCUUCAGCAGCUGGAAAGAAUUUCGGUCAGGGAUGAGCUCGCGGCCUAUCAGCUUGUUGGUGAGGUAAUGGCUCACCAAGGCGUCGACGGGUAGCCGGCCUGAGAGGGUGACCGGCCACACUGGGACUGAGACACGGCCCAGACUCCUACGGGAGGCAGCAGUGGGGAAUAUUGCACAAUGGGCGAAAGCCUGAUGCAGCAACGCCGCGUGAGGGACGACGGCCUUCGGGUUGUAAACCUCUUUUAGCAGGGAAGAAGCGAAAGUGACGGUACCUGCAGAAAAAGCGCCGGCUAACUACGUG
rnacentral:rRNA from 1 species